CCUACGGGUGGCUGCAGUGGGGAAUAUUGGGCAAUGGAGGCAACUCUGACCCAGCAACGCCGCGUGAGUGAUGAAGGUCUUCGGAUUGUAAAACUCUUUAAGUGGGGACGAAGAAAGUGACUGUACCCACAGAAUAAGCCUCGGCUAACUACGUACCAGCAGCCGCGGUAAUACGUAGGAGGCAAGCGUUAUCGGGAAUGACGGGGCGUAAAGGGUGCGUAGGUGGUUUGGCAAGUUAGUAGCGUAAUUCCGGGGCUCAACCCCGUCGUGCCGUUGAAACUGGCGUUCUUGAGUGAGCGAGAGGUAUGCGGAAUGCGUGGUGUAGCGGUGAAAUGCAUAGAUAUCACGCAGAACUCCGGUGGCGAAGGCAGCAUACCGGCGCUCAACUGACGCUCAUGCACGAAAGCGUGGGUAGCGAACAGGAUUAGAUACCCGGGUAGUC
rnacentral:rRNA from 1 species